GGUGGCUCAGGGGUAGAGCGCUUGCCUCGCAUGCAAGAGGCCCUGGGUUCGAUUCCUCAGCACCA
rnacentral:tRNA from 1 species